AGUGAACGCUGGCGGUAGGCCUAACACAUGCAAGUCGAACGGCAGCACAGUAAGAGCUUGCUCUUACGGGUGGCGAGUGGCGGACGGGUGAGGAAUACAUCGGAAUCUACUUUUUCGUGGGGGAUAACGUAGGGAAACUUACGCUAAUACCGCAUACGACCUACGGGUGAAAGCAGGGGAUCUUCGGACCUUGCGCGAUUGAAUGAGCCGAUGUCGGAUUAGCUAGUUGGCGGGGUAAAGGCCCACCAAGUCGACGAUCCGUAGCUGGUCUGAGAGGAUGAUCGGCCACACUGGAACUGGGACACGGUCCAGGCUCCUACGGGAGGCAGCAGUGGGGAAUAUUGGACAAUGGGCGCAAGCCUGGUCCAGCCAUACCGCGUGGGUGAAGAAGGCCUUCGGGUUGUAAAGCCCUUUUGUUGGGAAAGAAAAGCAGCAGGUUGAUACCCCGCUGUUCUGACGGUACCCAAAGAAUAAGCACCGGCUAACUUCGUG
rnacentral:rRNA from 1 species